rnacentral:rRNA from 1 species
AACUCAAAUGAAUUGACGGGGGCCCGCACAAGCGGUGGAGCAUGUGGUUUAAUUCGAUGCAACGCGAAGAACCUUACCUACUCUUGACAUCCUGCGAACUUGUGAGAGAUCACUUGGUGCCUUCGGGAGCGCAGAGACAGGUGCUGCAUGGCUGUCGUCAGCUCGUGUUGUGAAAUGUUGGGUUAAGUCCCGUAACGAGCGCAACCCUUGUCCUUAUUUGCCAGCGGGUAAUGCCGGGAACUCUAAGGAGACUGCCGGUGACAAACCGGAGGAAGGUGGGGACGACGUCAAGUCAUCAUGGCCCUUACGAGUAGGGCUACACACGUGCUACAAUGGCCGGUACAAAGGGUUGCGAGCUCGCGAGAGUCAGCUAAUCCCGAAAAGCCGGUCUCAGUCCGGAUCGGAGUCUGCAACUCGACUCCGUGAAGUCGGAAUCGCUAGUAAUCGUGAAUCAGAAUGUCACGGUGAAUACGUUCCCGGGCCUUGUACACACCGCCCGU